GCAGAAGAAACGUGGGCGUAAUACUGGUCAUGGGCAACACAAUGCAACAAGUAAAGGAAGAAAGACAAAGAAAUGGGAAAAAUAGUGAUCAAGCAUGAAGUGAAUGACACCGUGUCACUCUUUACCAGUGGAAAGCUCUUGCUGUGUGCACUGGACCUGAAGAGUCUUGCUUUCACAUUCCCUCAGAACCACAACCUAAUUUCUCAAGGUGUGCAAGGAAGGGGUAAAGUGAUUUACUGAAUUAUUAUAUAAUCAGCAACGAUCCCAUUAAAGAAUUCAGCUGAUAUGAUGUUGGGUAAGAAUUGCAUCUGACAAACAUCAUGAAGACACAAAUAAAUGAAAAUAACAAGGAAGGUUAUAAAGGUGAAAUGUGAGAGUUGAUUUGGUGAAACAAAGACAUAGAAGAUUUUUCAACCAAUAGAAGAUUCAGCAACCAAUACCAACGUAACAGAUAUACAGUAGAAUGAUUGGCUUCAAACACCUGAUCUUUGUUUUUAUGAACUAUACAAGCCAUUCUGUUUCCUAGGCUACUAAACUUCAGUUGAAAAUUGAGGUUGAAUAACACAGCUCUGAAAAGUGAGGCUAAUUUCUGCUUCACUAUUUUACAUGAGAAUAAACUUCAUUACCUGGACCUAGGGAUUAGGCAAGGUGCUUGCAUUUUUUGUGAGAAUCUGUGCAGAAUUCAGAAUUCAAAGCAAACUAUUUAAUAUGUUUAGGUUCACUUUAGUUCCACUGGUCUGCUUUAUAAUUACCAAAAGUUCAUUCCCGACAUUGGACAUAUCACCAAAAAAAAA